GAAAAUGGCCCCCAUUUACAGCGGCGUCAGAUACAUGUACUGUACAUGCCAACAUAUACAAGCAGCUUUCCUUUAACACAAGAACUGGUGGAGAGGAAAUCAUAUAUCCUGACUGUGGGCACAAGAUGCUUUUUCUUUCAAAUAUACCCUCUGGAGCAGUCAUGACGUUUGUGUGACAUUACCUCAGGUUGCUUGAGGUGAGUGUAUACCAUCAGAUAAAAAAUGAAAACCUGAAUGCCUCUGCCAGAAAGCUUACAAUGGGCCCUGGUUGGAUCUUCCAGCAGGACAAUGAUCGAAAACAAACAUCAAAAUCAACACAAAAAAAUGGUUCACUGACCACAAAAUCAAGGUUCUGCCAUGGCCAUCCCAGUCCCCUGACCUGAACCCCAUAGAACACCUGUGGGCUGAACUGAAGAGGAGUUCACCCGCAUGGACCUCUGAAUUUGAAGGAUCUGGAGAGAUUCUGUAUGGAGGAAUGAUCUCAGAUCCCUUCAUGUGUUCUCCAACCUCAUCAGGCAUUAUAGGAGAAGACUCAGAGCUGUUAUCUUGGGAAA